UUUUUUUUUUUUUUUUUUUAAUGAUUUCAAAUGCUCUUUGAGCUGACAACUAUCUUCUAAGCUAAAGUACUCAGACUUAAAACAUUCAGCUGCCUUUUUCUGAGAGAGUAUAGAUACUAAAGGGGUCAUCUGACUAAAAGAAACAUGCAGUCGAGAGUUUCUGCGUUUCCUGAAUAAACGCCAGGAAGGUUGUUAUAACCUGUUACUUCAUUCUUCCUUUCUUCCCCCUGAUAUUUAUGCUUACUUUAUUUCAUCCCUAAAUUUAGUUAACACAGAGUAAGCCAAAGACAAAUUUUAAAUACAUUUUUAGGGACACUAUAUUUGCCUGUGAUAAUGGGCCCUCCCUGGAGAGUAGUGAAUGUAACUGUUUAAUCCUGUUUAAGCAAUGCAGUUUGGCAUAAACUUUAUUUAUUUCCUGUGUAAAUCUGAAUGACAACAGAAAAAUCUAUAAGGCUUCUCACAAGAGCAGUAUUGCUGUUCUAGGAAUAGUAAAGUGCUCUGUUACCUUGAAUGUCUCUGAAGCCCUAUAGGCAGCUCCAUAAAAUGAGGAAACAUUCUUCCUGUCCAUUUACUUGCUGGUGUCUGUUGUCAGGAAGGUCAGCACCAUCCUGUUUAUGUAACUUGUGACUCCAAAAUGGAACCAAAGGAAUCCGGCUUUCAUCUUGCGUAGGACCAGCCUGCUUAUAUUUCAUGAGCUUUAUUAGACAUUUUUUAAAGGGACAAUAUCAAUCAAUUGAAAGGGUUUGGGUGUGAUCAUCUUGCCAGUAUGUUCUGUGUUGUUAUUCAUUUGUUUUAGGGAAAAGCACAAUUAUACCUCUCUAAUAUUAUUGUGUCUAUUAUCUAUCCUUCGAUUAUUAGAAAGAUAGGGAAAUAAUCUCUUCACUAUCCAGAAGCACAGGUUUUUGCUUGACAAUAUUUCACUUCAGCUCAGUCAUUAACAUUUAACUUGCUGGAAAUGCCAGGUACAUUUGUAAAUAUAGGGAUGUUAUGGAAGGAAAAAAUACUUUAGUUCCUAGUCUGACGUUCUUCAUAAGCCAUGUCGUCCUCACAAAUCUUUCUUGACCAAGAGAGAAUAGGUCGUUGAAGUAGGAAGGCAAACAGACAUCUAUUUCCUGUUCUUCCUCAAGAGAGGAGCAGUGCUGCCCGCCCUGGUGUGCAGAAGGCAGUUUCCUGCUGGCAGCCUGGGCUGGCCCAGCCCUGAGGAACUCGCAGACCAGCCUAUGACCUGAGCACUUGGUAAUGCAGAAGGAAGGGCCUCGGCAGCUCAGUAAGAGAGCCUGAACAGAAACCCUAUGUUGGCUUCUGAAGUUGAGGAACAUGAAGUGUACUUACUCCUCAGACUCUAUUAGAGCUGUAUACAUUUAAGAUUACCAAUGCUAAUGUAAGAAAAAUACUUAAAGACCUGAAACCCAUAAUUGUCCAAGUGGGCAGAAAUUGAUGUAAUUAUUUAUACCUGUAUGAGUUCACUUUCAUUUGUGGGUGUGAACAGCAUUUACCAUGUCAUAUUGUUCAUCUAAAGAGACCCGUGACCAUUUUGAAGUCAUUUUCAGAUACUUGUGAAAAUAAGGCUUUCUUAAUAUUUUUGAUUUUUGAGGAAGAAAAGAAAUUCUUUGCCAUUCUUCUGAGAGUAAGACACUGUCCCACAGGUUUGCAUGGAUGACACCACAAUGUACACACAAGCAUCAAUAGAAAAGGUGGAGAUGGGUUACUUUGAUUAUUAAAGGUUGGUGGGCCACUCCCUGCUUCAUCCUCUCUUCCUCUCUGGAGAGUAAGUGUGAGGUUCUACCAGGGUGGGCAGGGAGCAUCUUCCUCAGAAAUCAUCCAGUCCGUACCCAGUAUGUGCUAUGAUUUGUGAACUAGGGUUUCUUCUGACCAUCAUUCUACUCAUGACCAGUAAACCGAUCCGUAGUCUGACUCCUCUGCUCUUGGCCUCUGCUAGAACCAGUGAGCUGGAGUAUGUCACACGUGUCGAUAUGCUCAGUGACCUGGAUCUCUCUGCCUCUUUUCCUCCCUCUUUGUUUUGAAUGGUGGAACCUUAAUCUGUGAGAUAAUGCUCGUGCGUAACAGCUUCUGGCACCUUCAUAAAAUACCUCAGCGUAGCUUAG
ensembl:lncRNA